AGGUGCAAAACAGUUUUUGGGUAACAAGUCUUAUGAAGGGGAGGUGUCAUUUAAAUUGGCCUACUCGACAGAUUCAAACCCUCGUGACAAAAUCACCUGUAAUUCUGGCUGUAAUAUUUGUGCCAUGAGUAAGAACUCACAGGAAGAAAAAGGAUCUGAAGGCUGGCACACUGUGAGGGGGAAGUUUCUAGCCGUAGCCAGCUUCACCAUGAGCUGUCGAUGUUUGAUCAGCCCC